rnacentral:rRNA from 1 species
GGGGGGUUCAAUAUGAGGCGGGCUGGACCUCUCGGGGUUACAGCCUUGCUGAAUUAUUCACCCUUGUCUUUUGCGUACUUCUUGUUUCCUUGGUGGGUUCGCCCACCACUAGGACAAACAUAAACCUUUUGUAAUUGCAAUCAGCGUCAGUAACAAAUUAAUAAUUACAACUUUCAACAACGGAUCUCUUGGUUCUGGCAUCGAUGAAGAACGCAGCGAAAUGCGAUAAGUAGUGUGAAUUGCAGAAUUCAGUGAAUCAUCGAAUCUUUGAACGCACAUUGCGCCCUUUGGUAUUCCAAAGGGCAUGCCUGUUCGAGCGUCAUUUGUACCCUCAAGCUUUGCUUGGUGUUGGGCGUCUUGUCUCUAGCUUUGCUGGAGACUCGCCUUAAAGUAAUUGGCAGCCGGCCUACUGGUUUCGGAGCGCAGCACAAGUCGCACUCUCUAUCAGCAAAGGUCUAGCAUCCAUUAAGCCUUUUUUUUCAACUUUUGACCUCGGAUCAGGUAGGGAUACCCGCUGAACUUAAGCAUAUCAAUAAGCGGAGGAACA